rnacentral:lncRNA from 1 species
GACAUGGCGAUCCAUAGUUCUUCGGUCUCCUCCUCCCGCUGCAGCGCCCGUCAGCUCAUCGGAGGUGGACGAACAGUUGCCGGAGAACGCGUUGGAGAGGAAGCAGCCGUCUAGGGUUUUCUCUUACGUUGCCUUAUUCUUUGUUUGUCUAACGUAAUGUUGCCUUCUUUCCUCUUCGAAUCGCGUCUUUUUCUGUCGGAUUUGUUCGGAGUCUCUGCGAUUUGUCGCCGUUCAAUGUGUCUGAAUCAAUUUCGUAGGUUUCGUUCCUUUUUUGCGGGAAAUUUCUAGCUAACCCUUUGGGUUCACGUAUUUGUGUUUAUGGAUCAUGUGAUCGGGCUUCAUGAUCGUUUCACCGUGUCAAGUUCGAACAAUCGAAUGCAUCGCUCCAUUUCUGGAUCUCAUCUUUCCGAUCUGAAGAAAAAGAAUUUUGAUUUUGGUGUGUUUUGAUGCCACGCUAAUGUCGGCUUUUUGACAUGCUUGCUUAUCAUCGCGGACCUCAGCGCAAGGAUCGUACCCGAGGAUCCGACAGAAUGCAAGGCAACAUGUACGGGAGUCCACUUCCACUCCGUAUGUCCGAAUCGAAUCGGAGGAUAAUCGAGGCAGGCGAUCCAACCAAGCGGCUAUAUCAAGUGUGGAAAGGG